GACGAACGCUGGCGGCGUGCUUAACACAUGCAAGUCGAACGGAAAGGCCCCCUUGUGGGGUACUCGAGUGGCGAACGGGUGAGUAACACGUGAGUAACCUACCCUUGACUUUGGGAUAACUUCAGGAAACUGGGGCUAAUACCGGAUAGGAGCUCCUGCUGCAUGGUGGGGGUUGGAAAGUUUCGGCGGUUGGGGAUGGACUCGCGGCUAUCAGCUUGUUGGUGGGGUAGUGGCUCACCAAGGCUUUGACGGGUAGCCGGCCUGAGAGGGUGACCGGCCACAUUGGGACUGAGAUACGGCCCAGACUCCUACGGGAGGCAGCAGUGGGGAAUAUUGCACAAUGGGCGGAAGCCUGAUGCAGCAACGCCGCGUGCGGGAUGACGGCCUUCGGGUUGUAAACCGCUUUCGCCUGUGACGAAGCGUGAGUGACGGUAAUGGGUAAAGAAGCACCGGCUAACUACGUG
rnacentral:rRNA from 1 species